ensembl:snRNA U6 U6 spliceosomal RNA
GUGCUCACUUUGGCAGCACAUGUACUCAAAUUGGAAUGAUACAGAGAAAAUGACGAUGGCCCCUGUGCAGGGAUGACACACAAAUUCAUGAAGUGUUCCAUAUUUUU